ensembl:lncRNA
GUUAAUGUCUCAGCAGUGAAGAGGAGUUAGAGAUUUUAUUGAGCUCUGACUGUGGUUAUUUUAGCUAGAACACUCACGGUGCACAUUGCUUUUAGUUUAUGUGAGCAGACUCUUCAAAGUGGAAGAUUUUGGAACACAAAAUGGAUUGGACAUACAAUCCAUUUUUACGAGUCAAAGAUUUGGGUUUAAAAAUCAGUAAAUCUGGUCCAGUUUGUAGGUUGUGAAAGGAGAUAGACUAAAACAUCUAAAGGUGUUUUAAGACUCUAGACUUUCCUUGUCCACGAUGAUGACCAACUAGCCACAUGUGUCUUCUGAGCACUUGAGAGAUGGCCAGUCCUCACAGUGUUGAACUUUUCCAAAUGAUGGAUUGGACUACAGCAUGCAGCUUUUCCUAUCCAGGGAAGGUGAAAACUAGGAAAUGCACCACAGUAGGAGGAAUAAUGCGAGUCCUUUUCCAGUUCCCUAAAUCAGCAAUGAUCAGGGUUGCAAUCAAAGUGAAUUCCUUCUUUGGGGAAAGCCUUUCUGGCUUCAUCAACCUUGACGUUUGCAGGAGAAAGCCACCUAGCAGCAUGCCUUCCAAAGAGUGGAAGUGGAGAGAGGGUGACCGAGCCGAGUAGAGACCGUUCCAGGGCAAGUGGCCAGGGUCUCCAUGCAGGACCCAAGCAGCAGCCUAAUAAAAAUUCGUUUAAAAUGAAAACUACAAUAAAACCCCAGAGUAGUACCAAUUCUACAUAAAAUGACAUUGAUGCUUGCAUUUAUACCUUACUUGUCUGCAAAGAAUUUGAGGUGUCAGGCCAGACGUGGUGGCUCAUGCCUGUAAUCCCAGCACUUUGGGAGACUGAGGCAAGUGGAUCACAAGGUCAAGAGAUGGAGACCAUCUGGCUGACAUGGUGAAACCCCAUCUCUACUAAAAAUAUGAAAAUUAGCUGGGUGUGGUGACAUGCAUCUGUAGUCCCAGCUACUGGGGAGGCUAAGGCAGGAGAAUAGCUUAAACCCGGGAGGCGAAGAUUACAGUGAGCCAAGAUCACACCACUGCACUCCAGCCUGGCAACAGAGUGAGACUCCAUCUCAAUGAAUGAAUGAAUCAAUCAAUCAAUCAAAGAAUUUGAGGUAUCAAAAGAUGAAGAAAAAUGAACAGUGGGAAGGAAGUCAAUAGGGAAAGAUUACAUCAAUAUUAAGCUUUAUGAAAAUUCUUUUAAUACAAGGAGGAAAAGUAAUGGCUAUCCAUUUGGCAGCCUCAGCUACCAAAUUACCUUAACACAAAGAAUUAAUGUAAACAUAUGGGAGAGUGCUAUUUAAACCUGAUUUGAUGUCUUUACCUUGAUAUUAUAUCUAUACCUAUGUAUAUAUAAUAGCAAAAUAUCUAUAUCAAUGUCUGUAUCAGUUCUUUAUCUAGCUAUAUCACCUUGUUAUCUCAAUAAUUUAGAAGUUGUUAUAUCUUUUUUUACAAAUGAAAAUAAAUGUUAUAAUUAUGAAAGGAAUACAUUUUUGUUUCAGGAUAUUUGGAAAAUUAAAUUAAAUUAAAUUUAAGCCUAACAGCAUUUUGGGUUAUUCCCAUUUGUUUAAUAUUUAUUUAUUUUAAUAAUUAUACAAAUAUAAGUUAUAGUCUUGAAUUUUCAUUUAACAUUAUAUCAUGACAAAUUUCCAAGGGAUUAAAUAUGCUUUGGAAGCAUCUUUAUAUGACUGUGUAAUAUUCUGUCAAAUAUACAAAUUAUGUAACUAUUUACCUACCAUUGGAUAUGAUUAUUGCAGAUGUUUCAUCAUUAUAAAUAAUACUGUAGUGAACAUCUUUGCAUAUACAUCUGCCAACGUAUGUCUAAUUCUGGUAUUUCUUUAGAAGCAGAAUUACUUAAGAACUAUGAAAUUUUUUGAGAUAAUUGUCAAUUUUCUUUCCUAAAAUUAAGAUCAAUUUACAUUCUUACAAAUAAUGGAUAAGGGCCUGUUUUUGUUGAGAAUUAACAUUGAAAGCAUAUUUUGUCAAUUGUACGAAUUAUAAAUCAUACGUUAUUGUAUUUUUAUUGCAUUUUUCUUUAUUAGUGAGUUUGGUCAUUAAAAAAUAUAUUUAUUGCAAUUAAUAUUUUCCCAAUUAACAAUUGUCUGUUUAUGUUCUUCUUUAUUAGAAUAUUCAUAAUUUUUAG